rnacentral:rRNA from 1 species
UACGUAGGGUGCAAGCGUUGUCCGGAAUUAUUGGGCGUAAAGAGCUCGUAGGCGGUCUGUCGCGUCUGCUGUGAAAUCCCGAGGCUCAACCUCGGGCCUGCAGUGGGUACGGGGCAGACUAGAGUGCGGUAGGGGAGAUUGGAAUUCCUGGUGUAGCGGUGGAAUGCGCAGAUAUCAGGAGGAACACCGAUGGCGAAGGCAGGUCUCUGGGCAACAACUGACGCUGAGGAGCGAAAGCGUGGGGAGCGAACAGG